UCUGGUAAUAAUGCCGCAGUGGUUACACCCGUUCCCAUUCCGAACACGAAGGUUAAGCGCUGCAGGGUCGAUGGUACUGCUCGGGAGACUGAGUGGAAGAGUAGAACGUUGCCAGGU
rnacentral:rRNA from 1 species